UACGUAGGGAGCAAGCGUUGUCCGGAAUCAUUGGGCGUAAAGCGCGCGUAGGCGGCCCGAUAAGUCCGCUGUAAAAGUCAACGGCUCAACUGUUGAAAGCCGGUGGAUACUGUCGGGCUAGAGUACGGAAGAGGCAAGUGGAAUUCUUGGUGUAGCGGUGGAAUGCGCAGAUAUCAGGAGGAACACCCAUAGCGAAGGCAGCUUGCUGGGGACGUUUACUGACGCUAAGGCGCGAAAGCGUGGGGAGCGAACAGG
rnacentral:rRNA from 1 species